CAUGCAAGUCGAACGGUAACGAGAGGCACGAUCCUUCGGGUGAGCGCCUUGGCGACGAGUGGCGGACGGGUGAGUAAUACAUAGGAAUCUGCCCAGUAGCGGGGGACAACUUGGGGAAACUCGAGCUAAUACCGCAUACGCCCUACGGGGGAAAGCAGGGGAUCUUCGGACCUUGCACUAUUGGAUGAGCCUAUGUCAGAUUAGCUAGUAGGUGGGGUAAUGGCCUACCUAGGCAACGAUCUGUAGCUGGUCUGAGAGGACGAUCAGCCACACUGGGACUGAGACACGGCCCAGACUCCUACGGGAGGCAGCAGUGGGGAAUAUUGGACAAUGGGGGCAACCCCGAUCCAGCAAUGCCGCGUGUGUGAAGAAGGCCUGCGGGUUGUAAAGCACUUUCAAUUGUGAAGAAAAGCUUAUGGUUAAUACCCGUAAGUCUUGACAUUACCAAAAAAAGAAGCACCGGCUAACUCCGUGCCAGCAGCCGCGGUAAUACGGAGGGUGCGAGCGUUAAUCGGAAUUACUGGGCGUAAAGAGCACGUAGGCGGUUUGGUCAGUCGGAUGUGAAAGCCCUGGGCUUAACCUGGGAAUUGCAUUCGAUACUGUCAAGCUAGAGUUUGGCAGAGGAAUGCGGAAUUCCGGGUGUAGCGGUGAAAUGCGUAGAGAUCCGGAAGAACAUCAGUGGCGAAGGCGGCAUUCUGGGCUGAAACUGACG
rnacentral:rRNA from 1 species